rnacentral:rRNA from 1 species
AUACGUAGGGGGCGAGCGUUGUCCGGAAUGAUUGGGCGUAAAGGGCGCGUAGGCGGCGCGGUAAGUCUGGAGUGAAAGUCCUGCUUUCAAGGUGGGAAUUGCUUUGGAUACUGCCGCGCUUGAGUGCAGGAGAGGUUAUCGGAAUUCCCGGUGUAGCGGUGAAAUGCGUAGAGAUCAGGAGGAACACCGGUGGCGAAGGCGGCUUACUGGGCGUUUACUGACGCUGAGGAUCGAAAGCGUGGGGAGCAAACAGGAGUUGAUACCCUGGUAGUCCACGCUGGAAACGAUGAUUACUAGGUGUGGGGGGACUGACCCCUUCCGUGCCGCAGUUAACACAAUAAGUAAUUCACCUGGGGAGUACGGCCGCAAGGUUGAAACUCAAAUGAAUUGACGGGG